UACAGAGGUCUCAAGCGUUGUUCGGAAUCACUGGGCGUAAAGCGCACGUAGGCGGCUUCUUAAGUCAGGGGUGAAAUCCUGGAGCUCAACUCCAGAACUGCCUUUGAUACUGGGGAGCUCGAGUCCGGGAGAGGUGAGUGGAACUGCGAGUGUAGAGGUGAAAUUCGUAGAUAUUCGCAAGAACACCAGUGGCGAAGGCGGCUCACUGGCCCGGUACUGACGCUGAGGUGCGAAAGCGUGGGGAGCAAACAGG
rnacentral:rRNA from 1 species